rnacentral:lncRNA from 1 species
CUGGGUCUGCAAUAUACUCAGCUAUGCUCUAUAGACAUAGUCUGAUUCAUGUGAAUUUACAACAUAUUACAUUUAUUUCACAGGUAAACAAAUGAGAAUCAGAAAUGACUGAUGUUUGUUCCUUUCCAAACAUAAAGACUGCAUUAUUUUCAGAAAUGCAAAUUCUUGGAAAUUACUUAUAUUUGUUAAAUAAUUAUUAGUCAUAAUGUAAACUGUCAGUCUAGACAUAGAAAUGCUAAACAAAGAUCGUUUGGCUCAAAGUGCAUCAAGAUUAACAAUGAUAUGAGUAAAUUUCCUGACCUUGGACUGUAUUUAUAAGCCACUAUAAUGGAGUGUAAUAGAGAAUUUUCUUGUGUGAAGGAUGGAUUGAAGCUGCUAAGGCAAUAUGCAAAUUUUCCUCUCUAAACAUGUGUUGGUUUGAGAUUUGCAACUUUUAAGAUUCCUAAUUGAAAUCAAGAUGAGAAAAAAAUAAUCCACAGUCUUCCAAAACAGUGCACUGUAAAAAAAAAAUAGGGUAAGUUAUGCAACCUUGUUGAUUUUAUCCUAUUUCAGAAAGAAAAAAAAAAAUUUCUAAGUUUUUUUUUAUCAUCUGUUUGAAAUUGUCAUAUAAGCAUCAGGGAAAUAAUACAUGACUGGAUAAAAUACACUUUCAUUAUAACAGAGAGGAUCCUAUUACUGCUUUAGAAAGGGAGUUUAUAUUGAAUAUAAGCAGUUAGUCUUAGACUCUGCUUAGUGGUUGUAUCAGCAUUAAUGGACGUGGAUAUCAGUGGACAAGUAUGAACAUAAUAAAUAUCCCAAUCAUUUUUUUCUCCUAGGGUGAAUUUUAUUAAUUACAUUAUCUCUUAUUUAUAAAAUGAAUACAUAUUAUUAUAAUUAGUGUUUUAUAAAACAAAAGGUACGGUUACGAUAUAUGUAUUUUUAAAACAUUUUCAUCUCUAUACACAGACUAUACAUACAUGCAUAUAUACAAGUGUAUACAUGCAUGAAAUAUAU